AUUGAACGCUGGCGGCAGGCCUAACACAUGCAAGUCGCGCGAGAGGCGGACGGGUGAGUAAUGUAUGGGGACUGCCCGAUAGAGGGGGAUAACUAGUGGAAACGGUAGCUAAUACCGCAUACUAUCGGAUAACCCAUAUGGGAUGAGCUAGUAGGGGAGGUAAUGGCUCACCUAGGCGACGAUCCCUAUCUGGUCUGAGAGGAUGAUGAGCACCACGGGGACUGAGACACGGCCCCGACUCCUACGGAGGCAGCAGGGGGUAAUAUUGCACAAUGGGCGCAAGCCUGCUGCAGCCAUGCCGCGGGUAUGAAGAAGGCCCUAGGUUUGUAAAGUACGUUCAGUCGGGAGGCGUUACCGACAGAAGAAGCACCGGCUAACUCCGUGCCAGCAGCCGCGGUAAUUC
rnacentral:rRNA from 1 species